GCGGCCAUGGUCCAGGGGUUAGGACAGGAGCUUCCCAAGCUUCUAGCCCGGGUUCGAUUCCCGGUGGCCGCA
rnacentral:tRNA from 1 species